GGAGAAUAUUAGGUAUAACCAAGGCUGUAAACUUUGGGGAGGUCACGCAGAUACAGAUACGCGGGUGACACACAACAGCUGACGGUAAAAUGGCGGAUUUCAUACAAAAAUUCACCUACUUUGACAAUUCUCGUCGCCGUGACGAUGUGGUGAUUUUUGUUAUAUCUAAAAUC